CCUACGGGAGGCAGCAGUGAUGAAUAUUUGUCAAUGGACGAGAGUCUGAACCAGCCAAGUAGCGUGAAGGAUGACUGCCCUAUGGGUUGUAAACUUCUUUUAUAUGGGAAUAAAAUGUUCCACGUGUGGGAUUUUGUAUGUACCAUAUUAAUAAGGAUCGGCUAACUCCGUGACAGCAGCCGCGGUAAUACUGAGGAUCCGAGCGUUAUCCGGAUUUAUUGGGUUUAAAGGGAGCGUAGGUGGAGUGUUAAGUCAGUUGUGAAAGUUUGCGGCUCAACCGUAAAAUUGCAGUUGAAACUGGCAGUCGUGAGUACAGUAGAGGUGGGCGGAAUUCGUGGUGUAGCGGUGAAAUGCUUAGAUAUCACGAAGAACUCCGAUUGCGAAGGCAGCUCACUGGACUGCAACUGACACUGAGGCUCGAAAGUGUGGGUAUCAAACAGGAUUAGAUACCCCUGUAGUC
rnacentral:rRNA from 1 species